CCAGGAGGGAGCCCAGCCAGGAGGUGCAGAGCAGGCCGCUCCAAGGGGCACCAGGUGAAGAGGCCUUGGGAGACCACAGCAGUCUCCAGGGUCUCCCCCAUUCUUGGCUCAAGGUGCCCUUCCAGAGCUGGCCCUCAGUGCCAGGGUGCCGGUUCUAGGUGGGGCUCCUAGAAGCAGUAAUGACGACCCGAGGUACCCGAGUGCAGGCAUAGGGGGGACCUGUUUCCAGAUGGCUCUGCACAGACAGCCUGUGUGGAGAGCCACCGUUACCAGCCACAAUGCCCACGGGACUUGCUCUUGCUUCUGAGGGAAGGCCAUGGUCCUCUGGGCAGCUGCAGCCAUGCCCGAGCCCGGCCAACGCUGGGUUCACAGCAGACUUUGCCCCCAGCCGCCGCGUUGGCUGAGAGGUUCCCGGGCACCAAAGUUGGAGGCUGCCCCACACUCACCGUCCCCCUUCCCUUCCCACCGUCACCCCUGCACCAGCAUCCGAAGUCCCCCGCCCACCAUCUCCCGCCCCUGCAUCACGCCAGUGCUGCCCCCAGAGUCUCUGGCACUUGUGACCCUGGCGUGGCAGCUGCCCCCCGGCAUAGCCACCCGCCACAGCUCGAGGAGGAAGGGACCGACAAGCAGGACCCGGAGCCCCGUUCUCCUCCACCUUCAGACCGCGGCAGGAGGGAGCCCCGGCCUGGAGGAGCAGGGUGACGCAGGAGUCCUGGUGCGCUGAGAAUUCAGGUGGGGCCCUGGGAGGGCGGGGGCGCAGCCUCUGCAGCAGGGAGCAGGGAGGGGGCCCGAGGGAGCUGAACCCGUGAGACCUGCACUGGCCCCUCCUGGGCGGGGCGGAGAGGGCAGCGGGCUCCUCACUGCGGGGCCUCUGCAGGGAGGGGCCACUCGCAGGACCCACCCAGCACUGCUUCACAGGGCACAAAGGAGGGGAGUUGCCCACCACCCUCUGCCCCAAGGUCCCACCAUGGGUACUGACCCUGCGCCCUCCAGCCUGCCCCUGGCCCAUUUCUCAUGAUAUGAGCAGGGUGUUGGACUGUGCCCAAGUGGAGGGCCGCUGGCACAGUGGGGGCAGCAGAGAGGAAGGAGCAACUCAGGGGCAGGGAGGGCACAUGGCACGGGGUCCAGCACACUGCAAACCCAGGAGCCCCAACAGAGGAGAGGCUCGUCAUGUGCAGGCUGAGCGUCCCUGGGGGAGCUGCCCUGCCUCUCUGAGCCUCCCCUCCAGAGCCCCACAGAACCCUCUUGCGGAGGUAGAUCCAUUUCCGGUGGCUGCUGUGACAAAUCAAAACCAAACCAGAGGCUUGGAACAGCGCACGCAAGUUUAUUCCCUCCCUGCCUGGAGCCCAAAGUCCGGAUUCGCCCCCACGGGCUCUGGGCCCCUGGGUCCUUGCCCAAGGCUCCCCUUGAUCACAUCUGCAAGACCCUCUUUCUACACAGUCUCUGGUUGGUGUGUCCCUGCAGGCACAGGAAGCAGGACGCCCUGGACCUGAGCUGGGACUUGGGAGGGCACUCCACAGGAGGGACGGGGUCGUUUCUCUGGACUAAGGGCUCUUGGGAAGCCUCUUCCUGACAGAGGAGGCUGAGACCCCCUAAAGACGGUGGCGUGUACUGAGGGACAGUGCUAUGAGGACAGAAGGACCAGGCCAGCGCUUCGGGAUGGACACAUGUCCCAGCCCUGCAGCCCCCGCAGUCCCAGUGAGAACCAGCAGGGCUAUGUGGCAUGGGCAGGAGUGGCCAAGGUCACGAGGCCCCGCCUGACCUGGACACACUGGCACGUGCUGGGUGCUGCUGCAGGUGACCGGUUCGCUGUCCAGGCGGCGUCUGUUCCCGGCCAGCUGCUGGCUCCCCUCCCCCAGGUCUUUGGGGUCUUUUUCUGACUGAGAGGAGGGCCGGGUCCCAGCAGGCUCUGUCCCCCAUCCCACCGCCCAGUGGUGUUGGACUUGCUCACACAGGUGCAGGCUGGAGAUGCCCUGGAACACGGCCCUCACCUCCUGGCCUGGCUGGACACACUGGGCUCGCCGCCCCUCUCUAGGCCCACGGGCCUUGCUCUCUUGGGCUCUGAGGUCCUCUCCUGCAAAGCGAGGCCCACUGCAGUUCCAGCAGGGGCAGCUCGGCCGAGGACGGAGUGAGGUAAUGCGUGUGGAAGUUUCUGGAACGGCAUCAGGCACAGGGCAGGUGCCAUGGGGGUCUGCCCUCUGGGUUACCCUGAAGGGGACAGGACCGUGCAGAAUCUGGGGCGGGUGGCACGUCAGACACAGGGAGGGGCCAGGAGGAGGCCGGGGAGAGAGGCCAGCAGGCCCAGAGGUGAGGCCCUCAGCACUGGACCUGCAGCCCAGGUGGAGGUGCAGCCAAGGAUGGGCAAGGGGAGGCCGGAAGUGGUUGGGCAGUGGGGCACUGCGGGGACCUGUGACUGUCCAGACGUGCCCAGGCCGCCCCUCCUGUGCCCACCAGCACCUCUCCUCACCCACACUCCUCCUCCCCGGGCCCGGGCUGCGGCUGCGCGGGCUUCCUGGGUGCUGGGGUCUGCUCCGUAGACAAUGAUCUUGGCCAGGCUUCUUUGUGCAGGACCUGGGUGCCCUCGCUGUCCUGCCGCAGCCUCCUUCCUCGAGACUCUCCCUUGGAUGGUCCUGAGUGUGUAGCUGAGGUUAAGGCUUCCACACAACCUGCAGGGGUUCGAGACCCCUCCCAUCCGGCUCUGCCGGGUCUGGGUGGGCUGGACACGCCAUUUCCAUGAGGAGGGACGGUGAAGAGGAGAGGGGCCCACAGGGAGCCCUCCCCAGAGCCUGGGGUGCAGGGCCGUGAGCACGCUUUCCCUCACGGAUCUGCCGCAUUCUAGGGGUGAGUGCUGGUAUCUUCCCUACUUCAGAGUUGAGGAAAAGGAGGCUCCGAGAGGUCAAGCCACACAACCAAGGUCACACAGCUCAGAAGCACAGAGCAGAGACUGAAGUCCUAGUCCCUCUCUGGGUCUGGUCAGCUCUUUCUCCAUCAUGUGAGGGAGGAAGGGGCUGGAGACAACACUGAAGCAUCCUGGGGGUCCGAUGAAGCUCUGUAACUGGGUUAGGAAAUAGUUCUCAGUCGAUGCCUGGGUGGGGACGUGGCUGAACAGAAAUCCAGUCAGGACAGUCCGGGGCUGCCUCUGGUGUCCUCCUGCAUAGGAACACGCAGCAUCCGUGCAGCCAGGCCGGUGUCUGGGCACGAGUCCCCACCACCACCUGCAGGAGCUGUUCCCCGCUGCGCGCCAGGGUCUGGGUGGGAGAACAUGGCGCUGUCGUCUGUUACCUCAUCUCAGGUCACGGCUGCCCUCACAGCCCAGCCAGAGCAGCCCCGACCAGAGACCCGGGCUGCUGUGACGCUCAGCUCCUGGUCCCCAAAGUCCAUCCAAACCCAGGGAGGCAGCGGAAGGGCUCCUUUCACCCUCCAGUCCCCUCGCCUGCACUGUGGUGGGGUCACUUGGCCAGGCCACAUGAUUGAGUGGCCCUGACCACACUGCCCUGCCGCACCUGCACCAGCCCAGCACGAGGCCCAGAUGGGGCCUCAGCUCCUCCUUGAAGAUUCACACGGCAGAAGAAAACUCGAGGACCCCCGGCAACGGCUUGCAUGAGUCGGAACUCCCCCUCUGGCCUCCUCUGGACAAACCCUGUUUCCAUUCCAGAGUUCAACCAUCCCCAGGACCCGCCCCGACCUGGCCCAUGGCUGAUUGCCCGUGAGCCUCGCAGCCACUCGCACACGUGCAGAGCGCCUCCUCCUGCGGCGUCCGGUGUUGGUUAGGAUCCUCGGGGCUCACCACUUAAUGCUCAUCUCUGAGGCCUUGACCUUGAUGUCGUUCCCGCACAUGUGAGCUCAGGAGCCCUGGUCACCUGUGAGCCUGUUAGGGAACCUGGGGCCUGAACAGGUGUGGGACGCAACAGUAAAGGAAGAUGCCGUGGGACCCAAGACAAGGGGAGAACCUAGACCCCGGACCGACGAGAGUGGAGCGGACACUUGGCAUCCCAAGCGAGCCUCUGAGGAGGGGCCCAUGAGGGGCCACACCUUCAGCCCGGUCAGCUGCCCCAGCUGGCUGGGGGGCAGAGCAGUGGAGCCUCUGGUGCAGAGCCCCUGUGUGCCCAUCGUGCCUGGCUCAGGAGUCCCAUGUCUGCUGAUCCAGCUGGCACUCACCCUCUGGGCACCAAGGACAAGAGCUGAGCGGGUGAGGAGACCACCUCCCCUCCAAGGCCAAGGCUUGGCUCUCACCCAAAACACCCCGGUCGGCUGCGGCCAUAGCUCCCUGUGCCGUGCUCCUGCCCGGAGCCCUCCUGCCCCUCCCAGCACCCUCCCCACCCUCAGUAUUCCAAGUGCUGGAUCCUGGGGCCUCUGCGUGCCCCCGAGAGAUGAUGAGCAAGGAGUGGACCUGAGCCCCAGUCCAGCAGGCUGGGGGACUGUCCAGGAGGGUCUGAAAGCCUGGGGGGCGAGGCAGGUCCUCAGCACCAUCGCAGGAGCAGGGAGCUUGCAGGGAGCAGAGGCCAGGGCCCUGGGCCACCUGCAGGAGGGCAGAGGACAGGAGCCAGAGAAGAGCUUGGGAAGGAGGGGCAGGGGCUGUGGGACAAGGGAGGGUCUCUGCAGAUGCCCGGGGAACAGGGGAGCGGAGGUCUCGUACCUGUGGCACGUCAUCUGGGUCCUGGUGGGCUGGCGGGUUCCCGAGCCCAGGAGCCCCCUUCAGAAGGCAGCGGGCACAGAGCCGAGCCCUCUGGGAAGGAAGGCCCAGGAAGACGACCAGGACACCCUGAAGUUCUGGCAGAACCAUGCCACCAGCCUCUGCCCCUGCCACCUCCUCCCACCCCGUCCCUGGUGACCGCUGGCACCCUGGGUUCUUGGGUCACGUUCCGCUCGGCUCAGGAAGCUCCACUUUCCAGGUUCGGAGUCUGAGACCAGGGCCCGGCAGGGCUGGCCCAAUUCAGAGCUGCCCAGAGGCAGCGGGACCAGAGGAUGUGUGGGUGCUCGGCAGGGCUGGUGGGCAUGAGGGGAGGCUUGGUCUCUCAGAGCCAGUAUGACCGGCCCUGAGGAGGGGGUGUGGCCUAGACCCUGGCCUCCCACUGCUGUCCAUGCUAGACAGCCAGUGUCCUGCAGGACAGCCACGCUGUGACCCCUGCUCUCCAGGUCAGGCUGAAGUCUGCCUGCAGGUACUUCCUGUCCCCUGGCCCUGGCCUGUCCCUGACACCGGCUGCUUCAGUUUGAACUUCCUGCGGGGUAAGCAGAUUUGCUAACCACAGGUUUCUCCAAUUUCUUUGAAAAGAAGAAGAAAAAAAGAAACUCAUGUUCCGGAGCCUUAUCUUCCUUCCCGAUCAAUUGAGGCAGCCAGGCCUGGCUGAGGCCCAGGUCCUGCUGGACAGCAGAUCCCAGCGGCUCUCACCGCCAGACAGGCCCCGGGGAGGCUCGGGUGUCCAGCAUGGGGAGCCACUCCUGCUCAGGGUCACCUGCUGGCUUUCCCUGCCAGGACCAGGUGGCCUUGCCAAGCAGCCGGGAGGGAGUCCAGCCCAGUUAGUGGGCUCCAGCCACUGUCUACACCGUGCCUCCCCAGUGUAGACAGUAGUGUUCGUGUGUCCAGGGGGCAGUGAGCAGCUGCAUCCAGGAGGCUCGGCAGCCCCGCUGGCCCCACACCCACGCUCCGUCCCUGUGAGUGAAGGUGAUGAGGAGGGACCCAGGCUGCCCUCAGCGAGGCCGGCUUCCCCCGACCUGUGCCCUGGGGUUGAAAGCCAUUUCCUGCAGCCUUGCUCGAGGUCCGGCAGGGCCAUGUGUGCCGGGCCCUGGGGGUGUCUGCCUAGGAACAGGGGGCUGAGGCAAAGGCAAGGACCCCUACCUGAGAGCAGUCGUCUGGCCACCCUCAGGUGGAGGGGAGGGGACAGUGAGCACUCACGGUGACUUGGUUGGCACCAGGCUGUGGCCACGCCCUCCCGGUACCGCCCCACAAGGGUCUUCAGGGCCCGUGAGCACAGCAUCCCACAGACAGAACACUGAGGCUCGGCAGGGUGGCUGUCCCACCACGGGCUGCUGGGCCUUAUGGGGUCCUUGUCCCCAGGGGGUCUCUGGGACACUUAACGAGGCUUUCCCGUGCAGCCCGGGAUGGGCUCACUUGGCCUCCUUCCAGAUCACUUGGCCCUGGGACCUGGUGGAGCCUUGUCAGUUGGGCCCCUCCUGUCCCACUGCCCCCAGGAUGUCCACCCAGGCCCACCCUGCCCUGUCCUACCCCACCCCUCCUCCAGCUCCUGUCCACCCCACACAGGGAGGGAACCUGCCCGAGCUGCUGCCGUCACCCACCAGGGUGCUGCCGUAGCCAGUCUAGAGCAGUGUCCCAGGCCCCUGGCCAUCACAGUCAGCCCCUUCUCAGCAGGUGGGCUCUGCCCCUGGGCCUCCCCUGCUGACCUCUGAGGGGCCCACAUGCCCUGCUGGCUCCUCCCACAUCAGGGUGCAGGUUCCCAGGGGACCCGGGCCUCACCUUGCCUCUGCAGCCCCACAGAACACGGGGACACAGGCAGCAAAGGACACACUGCCACCCACGUCCCUGGCUCUCCACUGCCCGCUCAGGCUGCCCCAGAGACCUCACCCCCAGGGACAGAUGGGCAGAGGCCUCCUCCCUGCAUCCAGGAAAACCCCAACUGGAGGUGCCGAGCGAAGGGGGCAGAAGGCCUCAGGCACCCCCACCCUGCCCUGCCCCGCGGCCUCCAUCACCUGGUUUCUGAAGGCUGCUUUGGCCUCCGGGGAUGGCUGGGCCUCGCCAAGGCAGGCUGGAGUCGGGUCCCCUUGGGUUGGCCCUGUGGCCCAGUCUCUCUGUGGGCGACCGAUCACAGCACCCCUCAGGCUGGCUGGGCUGAUGGAGGCAGCCCUGCCCUGCAGUGUAGCUCCACGCCUCCCAGGGCCACUGGCUGUCAUUGUCACCAGGAUCCCCACUAUCCCAGGGACACAGAUGCCCAGUAAACACACAGCCACCUCCGUCCACUCCCCCCACCUGUGGGAAGGUGGUUCUGCCACGUUGUUUCCCCAGAAUUCUCCCGAUACCCUCAGAGUUCACACAGGUCUUGCAGGCCGCGCUGGGGCCUCACCUGGCAGGUCCAGACCCGAGGGCCGGUGAGGGCAGCAUGGGCUGGGGCCUCCUGCAGAGGCCCCAGCGAGGGCCAGAGCAGCCCCAAGCUCCUCUCUGCGGAGCCCUGCACGCCAGCCCUUCCAGGAAAGGUGUGAGAGGAGGUGCACAAGAGAGCAGUGUGUGGAGCAGCCUCCUGUCCAGCACACGCCCUCCGCCCCCACCCGCCAGCCUCAGCUAGCGAUGGGUGCAGAGCAGAGCUCUCAGGGGGAAGGGCGGCCUACGGGCAGAGCACAUGAGGACAGGAGGACACUCACGGCUCUCCACCGGGGAGCAGCUUGGAGUGUGCCACCGGGAACGUGGCAGAAUCAGGCCACCAGCUCCGGCCCUGCCACCUCCUCCCACCCCGUCCCUGGUGACCGCUGGCACCCUGGGUUCUUGGAUCACUUCAGCUCUGCCAGGGGUGCCCAAAGCCCCUGAGAGAGUGCUCCUGGGACACACAUCCGGGAUGCUUCCCGGCGGGGGCCAGCAGAUGCGGGGAGGGCACGUUCUGACCGGGGGCACAGCAGGGCAGGAGAGCCAUGGCAGAUCAGGCCAGGGUUACUUCCAGACCUGUCCCCAGCCCUGACCUCCAGGGCCGCUGUGCUGGGAGGGACCCAAGCUGUGACCUCAGGCGUCAAGUGGGCAGAGACUCCCUCACCAGGGACACACCCCGAGGCGCGUGGAGGCACUGGCCCCAAAGGGCACGAUCCGCCCGCCAGGAGGAGGCUGGAGCCCAAGGCUGCUCCAGAAAUCCCUCAGAGAGGCCAUGGCUGCCAGGGCAGCUGCAGAGCCCUGAGAACCCGCGGAGGACAGGGUCCUGGACACACGCAGGACAGAGCCACAUGCUCUGCUAAGGGAGAGAGGCGGGUGUGCAGGACGGAAGCGCCAGGGUGAGCGCCAGGGUGAGCACGGGGUCCCGGGGGAAGGAAGGGCCUGGGGAGGCCGAGUGUGAGGACGCCCCUGGGCCAGCUCCUUGGGACGGAGACAGGCAGUGACGGGAGGUCCUGGGGCAGGCCAGGUGGGUGGGCUGUGCGGAGGGAGGAGGCCUGAGCAAUGGGGUCUGGAGUCGGGAGCCUUCCAGGGUUGGGCCGAGUGGCCAAGGAAGCAGAGGGGACAGAGGCCGGGGGAACAGGGCUGGGCGCGUCCCAGUUCUUGGUUUUCGUCUUUGUUUUUACUGAGGUGAAACCUACAUGAUGUGAGCCAUUUUAAUUUUUUAAAUUUAUUUCUUGCGGUUCUGCCACCAAGCUGCACCUCAUCCUCACGGUCCCCCACAUUACAGUGCAGUGCCCAGCGGCAUUGCAUGCCUUCUUGGGGCUGUAGAGCCACACCCCUGUCCCCUCCACAGCCCUCACCUCCCUGAAGGGACACCCCUUCCCCUCUGGGCAGUCCCUCUACCACCUGGCCUGUGACCACGGCUCUGGGUCCUGUCUGCAGACUCACUGUUCUAGACAUUUCAUAAAGGUGAACUCACACAGCAGCUGGCCUCUGUGACUGGCUUAGUCCCCUCAGCAAAGUGUCCUCAAGCUGCAUCCACGUUGUCACAGAAGUCAGAAUUCCACUCCUUUUUAGGGCUGAAUACUUUUCCAUUGUAUAAAUGGGCCACGCUUUUCCGUCGCCUGUCCAUGGGCACCCAGUUGUUCCGUAGCGGUAAUUGGGAAUAAAGUUCCAUGAGCCUGGA